AUUGAACGCUGGCGGCAUGCUUUACACAUGCAGGUCGAACGGCAGCACGAAAGAGCUUGCUCUUUUGGUGGCGAGUGGCGAACGGGUGAGUAAUGCAUCGGAACGUACCGAGUAAUGGGGGAUAACUGUCCGAAAGGAUAGCUAAUACCGCAUACGCUUUGAGAAGGAAAGUGGGGGCUCUUCGGACCUCACGUUAUUCGAGCGGCCGAUGUCUGAUUAGCUAGUUGGUGGGGUAAAGGCCUACCAAGGCGACGAUCAGUAGCGGGUCUGAGAGGAUGAUCCGCCACACUGGGACUGAGACACGGCCCAGACUCCUACGGGAGGCAGCAGUGGGGAAUUUUGGACAAUGGGCGCAAGCCUGAUCCAGCCAUGCCGCGUGUCUGAAGAAGGCCUUCGGGUUGUAAAGGACUUUUGUUAGGGAAGAAAAGGAUAGUGUUAAUACCAUUAUCUGCUGACGGUACCUAAAGAAUAAGCACCGGCUAACUACGUG
rnacentral:rRNA from 1 species